CACGGUCACGCAUUGGUGGCGAUAGUGAACCUAAACCGACCAGAAGUUGCAUUUAUUAAAAGAAAAGGUUCCAGAAGUAGAACAGAAAUAUAAACGCAGAAGAAGAUCUGGGCCCAACGAGGUUGCAUGUGUUGUCGAUGCUGUGUUUUUUACGUGAAGCGAGCUCACGCUGCAGAGGACCAAAUCUAAUAACGGAUUGUUAGGCCACACAGAGACACGAGCACCAUCGUCAACAGUUCCAUGAUGGAAAGUUGACCCCUCCUGGAAGAGAACGUGUAACUACCGAAUUUUUACAUCACAUGUGUAACUUAAUGACAAUGCAAAUGUUUACAUCUUUUCAAUAAAUAAUUGUAUUUUUAAUAAAUGAACAUUUUAAUAAACAAAUAAAUCACAA